rnacentral:misc_RNA from 1 species
UCCGGCCGAUAGCCGGCAGUCUCGGUAGACACGUAUAACUACCGACAAGGGUUGCGCUCGUUGCGGGACUUAACCCAACAUCUCACGACACGAGCUGACGACAACCAUGCAGCACCUGUGCAGCACCCUCGAAGGAGCCGGCUUUCACCGGUUUGCAGCUGCAUGUCAAGCCUGGGUAAGGUUCUUCGCGUUGCGUCGAAUUAAACCACACGCUCCGCUGCUUGUGCGGGCCCCCGUCAAUUCCUUUGAGUUUUAAGCUUGCGCUCGUACUCCCCAGGCGGCCAGCUUACCGCGUGAGCUGAGCCCCUCACCCACCUUAACGGCAGGCAAAGAGCGAGCUGGCAUCGUUUACGGCGUGGACUAC